UACAGAGGUCUCAAGCGUUGUUCGGAUUCAUUGGGCGUAAAGGGUGCGUAGGCGGCGCGGUAAGUCGGGUGUGAAAUCUCGGGGCUUAACUCCGAAACUGCAUUCGAUACUGCUGUGCUUGAGGACUGGAGAGGAGACUGGAAUUUACGGUGUAGCGGUGAAAUGCGUAGAUAUCAGGAGGAACACCGGUGGCGAAGGCGGGUCUCUGGGCCGAUACUGACGCUGAGGAGCGAAAGCGUGGGGAGCAAACAGG
rnacentral:rRNA from 1 species